rnacentral:rRNA from 2 species
UUGAUCCUGGCUCAGGACGAACGCUGGCGGCGUGCCUAAUACAUGCAAGUCGAACGAACUCUGGUAUUGAUUGGUGCUUGCAUCAUGAUUUACAUUUGAGUGAGUGGCGAACUGGUGAGUAACACGUGGGAAACCUGCCCAGAAGCGGGGGAUAACACCUGGAAACAGAUGCUAAUACCGCAUAACAACUUGGACCGCAUGGUCCGAGUUUGAAAGAUGGCUUCGGCUAUCACUUUUGGAUGGUCCCGCGGCGUAUUAGCUAGAUGGUGGGGUAACGGCUCACCAUGGCAAUGAUACGUAGCCGACCUGAGAGGGUAAUCGGCCACAUUGGGACUGAGACACGGCCCAAACUCCUACGGGAGGCAGCAGUAGGGAAUCUUCCACAAUGGACGAAAGUCUGAUGGAGCAACGCCGCGUGAGUGAAGAAGGGUUUGGGGCUCGUAAAACUCUGUUGUUAAAGAAGA